GAUGAAGAACGUAGCGAAAUGAGAUAAGUAAUGUGAAUUGCAGAAUUCAGUGAAUCAUCGAAUCUUUGAACGCACAUUGCGCCCGUCAGUAUUCUGGCGGGCAUGCCUGUUCGAGCGUCAUUACGCCCCUCAAGUCCCCUGUGGACUUGGUGUUGGGGAUCGGCGAGGCUGGUUUUCCAGCACAGCCGUCCCUUAAAUUAAUUGGCGGUCUCGCCGUGGCCCUCCUCUGCGCAGUAGUAAAACACUCGCAACAGGAGCCCGGCGCGGUCCACUGCCGUAAAACCCCCCAACUUUUUAUAGUUGACCUCGAAUCAGGCAGGACUACCCGCUGAACUUAAGCAUAUCAAUAAGCGGAGGA
rnacentral:misc_RNA from 1 species